GGAUUAAGUUAAGAAACUGUUUCUUAAUUUUUAACUAAAAAAACUAAGAACCGGUUCUUAAAUAAUGACUUUAAAAACCGGUUCUUAAUUUUUUUAGUUAAAAGUUAAGAAACAGUUUCUUAACUUCC
rfam:Brassica napus, WGS project CCCW01000000 data, contig: 2474